AAUACGGGGGGUGCAAACGUUGCUCGGAAUUAUUGGGCGUAAAGCGCACGUAGGCGGUCCCUUAAGUCGGGUGUGAAAGCCCUCGGCUUAACCGAGGAAGUGCAUUCGAAACUGGGGGACUUGAGUACUGGAGAGGAUGGCGGAAUUCCCGGUGUAGAGGUGAAAUUCGUAGAUAUCGGGAGGAACACCAGCGGCGAAGGCGGCCAUCUGGACAGAUACUAACGCUGAGGUGCGAAAGCGUGGGGAGCAAACA
rnacentral:rRNA from 1 species